rnacentral:rRNA from 1 species
AACGAACGCUGGCGGCAUGCCUAACACAUGCAAGUCGAACGAGACCUUCGGGUCUAGUGGCGCACGGGUGCGUAACGCGUGGGAACCUGCCCUUAGGUUCGGAAUAACUCCCCGAAAGGGGUGCUAAUACCGGAUAAUGUCUUCGGACCAAAGAUUUAUCGCCUUUGGAUGGGCCCGCGUUGGAUUAGCUAGUUGGUAGGGUAAAAGCCUACCAAGGCGACGAUCCAUAGCUGGUCUGGGAGGAUGAUCAGCCACACUGGGACUGAGACACGGCCCAGACUCCUACGGGAGGCAGCAGUGGGGAAUAUUGGACAAUGGGCGAAAGCCUGAUCCAGCAAGGCCGCGUGAGUGAUGAGGGCCUUAGGGUUGUAAAGCUCUUUUACCCGGGAUGAUAAUGACAGUACCGGGAGAAUAAGCUCCGGCUAACUCCGUG